rnacentral:rRNA from 1 species
UCCAGACUCCUACGGGAGGCAGCAGUGGGGAAUAUUGCACAAUGGGGGAAACCCUGAUGCAGCGACGCCGCGUGAGUGAAGAAGUAAUUCGUUAUGUAAAGCUCUAUCAGCAGGGAAGAAAAUGACAGUACCUGACCAAGAAGCCCCGGCUAACUACGUGCCAGCAGACGCGGUAAUACGUAGGGGGCAAGCGUUAUCCGGAUUUACUGGGUGUAAAGGGAGCGUAGACGGUUAUGUAAGUCUGGAGUGAAAGCCCGGGGCCCAACCCCGGGACUGUUUUGGAAACUGUGUAACUGGAGUACAGGAGGGGCAGGCGGAAUUCCUGGUGUAGCGGUGAAAUGCGUAGAUAUCACGAAGAACCCCGAUUGCGAA